ACUACGUUCUCCCUAUACCUUACUUAUACUUUGGGAAUACUCCCCCUUUUCCUCCAAGUAGUCAGGAAACUUUACGGACGUAUGAUUGAUUAAGGAUAAGUAAACAUCGAUAUCAGGACUAUCUGGCAGCUGUACAAUCAAUUCAUUCCAUUAUGCAUGGACAAACAUUCCCAUAGCCAAUAUCCACCGCUGGAUAACGCUGUCGUAAUAUUUGACAAUGUGAAAUGAGUUGUUCGUGGCAGAGACAGAGACAGAGAUUGAGGUUAGGGUAGUAGCGAGGGGCACGAUUAUAUAAUAGCAGGUAGAGAAAGACAGUGACAAAGAGACCCAAGGAUAGGCUCGAUAAUGGUGAUCGUCGUUAACUCGUCGUUAAUAUUUUGAUACCUUCAAAUUGCAAGGCACAUUAAUCGAAUUACAUAUUAUCAUUUUCAAACGUUAUCACACGAUGGAGGGCAGUUUCGCGAAACAAGCAUUAUUCAAUUUAAACAUGAUUCACAGUAGUCGUACACCCCCCUCCCAGUCGAAUCCACACCCCAUUGCGUCUGCAGGGAGCAUUUUGCAGUGUGUCAGCAAUCCGUGGAAUUGCGCAAUUUCACCUUUGCACCUUUCCAUUGCAUUACAGACAUUCUUUGUCGCACGACGUUAGUGACUUUGGUUUUACGUUUUUUUUGGACUUUAAGGUAAAUUCAUCGGCAGGAACGCUUUAUUAUUUAGUGCCGGGUAUAUUAUAAUUUGACGUAUGCGAACAAGUGAAUUUGUCAGUAACUCAUCUUGCAACAGUCCAUUGACAUUGACUAACGGUUAGAUCGGGUUAGAAUGUCAAGUAUUCUAUUGGUGCCCGAUGCUUCCUGCUCGAGCAUUUUAUUGGCAGCUAUAUCGGAAGUCACUGCUCGAGCCAGUAGAGGAUGUCAUCCUCAUCCCUUUCGGGUUGUGAAAUAACGAAAUUCCAUCGCCAUGAAAAAUCCAGGGGACGGCAUCCCAUCUAGUAUUCGUAAAACGAACUAUGCCCGUCGCACCCGUCAGCAAUAAAACGACUGUAAAUCUAGUUGGGGGCGCGCGCGCGUCCCCUCUUUUUCGUAUUACGUAUAGACCAACUGCGAAACAUCACCAACUACCAAAUCCCACCGUCAGACCAUUUUACUAGCACCGUUGGGCGACGUUGAAUGGAUAUUGGGCGAUAGCUAACGUACCUUUGGCUGUGUCACGUGUUAUAUAUAUAUAUCCGUAGCGACUUUCAAUAAUAUGUAGAUAUAUGUAUAGCACGUAGUGAGUGGGUGUCUGUAAGCGUAUUCGACUAUUAUAUAACCUAUAUAUAUCUCUCUAACAGUAUCUCAACUCUGACUAGGGGAUGCGGAUGAGAAUGGAUAUCGUUCCUAUUCUCAAUACCUUUGGCGAUGGGGUAGGGUGCAGGUCCUCUUGCGAAUCCUCAGGAUUUUCUUGAAGGGGUUCAAGUGCCGCCACCCUCUUUAUUUAUGAGAUCGGGAAGCUGGACGACCGUGUGACUUUCCGUUUUACGGGGUUGUUCCUCGGAGAGGAGUGGAGCAUACUGAUUUUUUAUAGCGUGUUAAAUUCUAUGGCUCGAGGGAGAUUUUGAAAUGCGAUCGAUCGCUAACGGAGUGCACGAUAGAUUUUUGAAAGUCUAAUGAAAAUUUUGUAAAAUCUCCUUUAUUGUCAAAACAUUCGAAAUUAUCGAUGAAUUCAAUGACGCGUGAUUUUUUAGCAAGCCGGCUAAUCCUGUUUGUAUUCGUCGAACCGAUUGAUCUCGUUGAUCGUUAUCUAAUCGCGCGGAUGAAAAUUCGACUUUACGAGUUAGCCGCGUUUAUUCAUUUGCGCUCGUUCGAGUCGGUCAAUCGUUUCUCGAGGUAGUUUUUCAGUUGUCAGUUCAUUAGCUUUCUAUGGCUGGGAACGGUAUACGAAUGCGUAAUGAGAGUCUUUUCAUUUAAUUGAACUCGAAAACGUAAAAAGAGACCAGUUCUUUUUAUAUCGUCAAUUAUUCCUAUUGGGCUCCUGCUGGUGGUCUGUUACAACCCCUAUUUUACUUUUAUUGAAAAUUCAACCUGAUUAUCAUAUAUAUAUAUAUUGAAGGAAAGAUCAAAUGAAUUUGAUUGAGCGACCGAAUAGCGAAAGUGAAUUGUGAUAUAAAUAUGUUUGAUAUGAUAAAAAAAUUCGAUAUAAGAAUUUUAAGGGUGGAACCGUUUUUAGGUGUAUUAUCAAUUUUAUCGUUCCGUUUACUAAUAGCUUUGACAGCUUAUCAAAAACAUACCCUUGGGUAAUUUGGCAUAGGAAGUUAUAAAAUGGUGAAAAAAAAUUUUAUCACGCACAGUGAACGUAUCUUUUGAUCAAUUUUAAUCUCCGUAAAUAUUUCAAAGGAUUCUCGAUAAAGACUCAGUCAGCCAGGAUUCAGCGACGUCCUGAUGCAUCCCCCCCAUUAUCCCUGAUAGAAACGUCGAGUAGCCAAAGUCGAUGUGAACGAUGCUCCCUGACACUCUGGCAACCAGACAGUAAUCGGCUCAAGAUCAUAAUCCUAGUUAAUUUCUCUCACGGUUCUACGCGUAAAAGCUCGAGCUGGUUAGACUAGCAGGGAUUUUGUUAGAUAACCAGAUAACUGUGUCCUCCUUCAUCCAGACGGAUAAGUACACAGGGAGAUAGAGAUAGAGAUAGAGCUAAGUGCCUGAACGUAUACAGUGAAGCGAAACGCUUCGAUUCUGUAAUCAGGCAAGACUCGAAUAGCUGAAGGAAUGUGAUAACCAGGAGAAUUUACAUUAUCUUCCACGUUAAUGGAAGGCUCUUGCGUACUUUUGCAUCAAAAAGGUCGACUAGGCGUUGAAACGUUUUUCAAAAAUUGAGGUGCUACAGCUGGAGCUGGUAUCUCAAUUUCUUAAAAAUGUUUCAAGAGUCGGCUUUUUUAAUAUAUCUUAAAAAGUUGUAUAGUUCCCGGCCUUGUUUUAAGGAUUGCUUUGGAAACCAGCAAUGAGGACCAGAAAACCUCACUACACAUCAGUACACGUUCACUAUCACGUUCAGUUCAGGUACGAAGGUAUACGCAAAAUCGAGGGAGGCGAUGAUCACAAAAUCCUACUUCCGGCUUCGUCGUUCGAGAUUUAGCGCUAUGAUUUUGGUAUCGCCUGAAAUCAUAGCGUUGAGCGUCUGCCUAUUAAUCUCUGAAAACACUGGCACCUUAAUAUCUUGGAAACUAGAAUUUAUGGCUGCUGGGCUGAGAUAGGAGAUACGAAUGUAGAGCGAGUAAAAAGAGACAGGGAACCAAAGUACCAGGACCAAGGGGUGGAAGCGGGGAAAGGAGAUGGAAUGAUUCACCCCUCUUAUCGAAAUGGGUGCCAAGACAAGUAUUACGGGAACACACUUUGUUCGCCUAGGAUUUAAAGGGACGUGCGAUCGCAUAAAAUUCAAUUACGAAUCCAGACCGAGUCGAGUCUUUGCUAUUAGCGUGGCUAGUUAGUUUUGAGAGACCGAGAGCGGAGGAAACGUUUUCUCAAAAAUAUCUCUCAGCUGUUUAAUUGAAUGAUAACGCAAUUAUCGAAGCAAACCUAUAUGCCCGCUGUCAGGACACAUACGGUGUACAGCCAUGUUAAUACACACUACGUUUCCAUGCUCGAUGCCGAAGCGUGAAAUUAACUUGAACACAUUUCCCACAGGUACACGCGUUGUGAAAUGUUCGUCCUCUCUCUCUCUCUCUCACACGCACAAGCGUACUGGAAUUGUCCAAUUUCAUUUAGGAGUAAGCCACACUAUCCUGUACGCAACUGAUCCUUCAUACUGUGGAGAUAGACUGACCCUUGCUCGAUUCUCUGGAAACCAUUUGAAAAUGGACUCUGUGGUCUUUAGCUAUAACAACACUGACCCGCUAUCUUCUAUUUCCAUUGAUUAAUUGGGUACCGACACCUCCGUACUAUAUCCAGGUCCCAGACACGCUGCUUGUUAACAGACACUAUUUCGAUACUGGGUUAAUACCUAUUUGAUGUGACGAACCGAGGAGCUGAACUGGUUCUAUAAAAGGGACAGCCUGGUCGCUGAUGUGGUUAAUCAAGAGAUUUGCAUAGAGCAAAAGGAUCUUGGCGACGUUAGGUUGGGAUUUCCGGGAGUAUAAUCCUGGGAGACGUCUUGCCAGGGACAAUGAAGAGACUAGUAUGCAAGUCCGGGAAAGCCGUUACGCGCGAUUAUCCUUGAAGACGUUGAGAACAAUAAGCCCUGGGACUCGUCUUCCGGUACUGUCUGCUAGACUGUCGUUUCCGGAAACCGGCUGGCGUCUCGUCUCGUUCCAUUGCGUUUCCUGUCUACGUGUUUUCGGUCUUGUCGUAGGAAAUAGUAAUUCGCGCCCGGGAUUACAUUUAUUAUCAGUUUCGAGCUCUGUCGCUUGGAGCUGCCUUGAUUAUAUCUGUUGGGUAGUUUAUUGUAGGAGUUAUGUGAUUAGUAUCUAUAGUGUUGUACUUAU